CCUACGGGAGGCAGCAGUGAGGAAUAUUGGUCAAUGGGCUUAUGCCUGAACCAGCCAAGUCGCGUGAGGGAAGACUGCCCUAUGGGUUGUAAACCUCUUUUGUCAGGGAGCAACGCCGGCUACGUGUAGCCGGACUGAGAGUACCUGAAGAAAAAGCAUCGGCUAACUCCGUGCCAGCAGCCGCGGUAAUACGGAGGAUGCGAGCGUUAUCCGGAUUUAUUGGGUUUAAAGGGUGCGUAGGCGGAAUGCCAAGUCAGCGGGAAAAUCGCGGGGCUCAACCUCGCUCCGCCGUUGAAACUGGCGUUCUUGAGUGGGCGAGAAGUAUGCGGAAUGCGUGGUGUAGCGGUGAAAUGCAUAGAUAUCACGCAGAACUCCGAUUGCGAAGGCAGCAUACCGGCGCCCGACUGACGCUGAGGCUCGAAAGCGUGGGGAGCAAACAGGAUUAGAUACCCUAGUAGUC
rnacentral:rRNA from 1 species